UUGAGAGAGGUCCUACGGGAGAUGAUCUUACUUGCAUAGGGGGUGUGUUAAGGCCAUGCUAUUUUCUCCAUGUUUACCACCAAGGUGUAUGCAAAAUUUCAAUAUAAGGGUAUGGUGCGCAAGAUUUGAACAAAUGUGGAAUCAUGUAAAUCUAAUAUUGUUGGAUUUCGCUACAUGGUAAUGGCACUGGAAGAUUUUUGCUCUUAACCACUAGCCCUUAUUACAAUUGGAAAAUGGGAAGUUUAAAAAUUACUUACUCAUUAUCGUUUCUGUGCCCCCUUCCCCUUUUUUUUCUGUGUCUCCCUUGCAUUUUGCCUUGGGUGUGGGUGGGUACCAAGGUUUCAAAUUCACACAACAUGAUGUAGGGACAGUUGUUCUAAUUGCAUUAGAAAUGCAAGUAGUAGUGGAUUUGUGAGUGCCUUUGAAAAACUUGAAGAACUGAUUGAGUGCAGUGGUAAAAAUGCAAAAGAUGAUGCACCAAGUUGGGAAGCUAUACUCUUUAAGCUUG
rnacentral:misc_RNA from 1 species